AUACCAUCCAGAGAUGAAGUGAUAAGCCAAAUGAAAUUACUAAUUCAUUGUAACAAAACCAUAGAGAAAUGUUUGCUACUCAGACAUUUAUUUAAUCUAUAAAGAUUGGAUUUUGUAACCUUUUUUUUUUUUUUUUUUUUUUUCAGUGACUUGUGGUAAAAAAUAUGCAUUUUUGAGAAUGUGAGAAUGUAUCACUACCAUCUGCUUUCAAUGAGCUUUAAAAGGGAACAACGAAAAUAACUGAAAUGAGACAAAAAUAAAGCUUCUCCUCGGAGUGGUGGAGGAAGCACAGCAUGUACCAUCACCAGCCGCUCCCUCGUACAGGUGCACUCCAGCUCCACACGCAGGCAGGAGUUCCUCGCAGUCUUCUCCCCUGUGGCACCCAGCUCCAGGUGGAAGAAUGUUAACUUCAUAGAAUGACAGUGCUCAAGGCAUACCUGAUGUGUGUUGGAUAAUACAAAAUCAAGAAGAUGCUGUGGAUUUUUUCAAGCUUAUUUCCUCUAGGCAGUGGCUAAUCUCUACUGGUAAGUCUCAAAUCCUUUCUCGAUAAGAAUCCUUAUACAAAAGCUCAGCUGUCAAUUUGGUGUUUCAGCUUGGGGUGUACAAAACCUUGUAUGCAAAUCCUUGGACAUUUUUACUGUGAUUCAUUGACUUUCUUUCCUUGGCACCAUUAUCACUUGUUGCCGACGGAAGGAAGACCCAGACACUCAAUAUGAGUGAACAGUGAACUUCAACUUUAAUGGAUAGCUCAGUCGCCUUUUAUCUAGUUUGAACAUAAUCAACUCAUACAUAUUGCAGAAACUAAGCUCAGGAUUGGUUAACACUUCCCGGGCUUUUCAGUCUGGUCCUCCUUCUUUUGGCUACCUGUCCCGCCUUAGGGACUUUCCCCAAUCGCCCAAGGGCAUCAUGUCCUUGAGCCUGAUUGGCUCUCAGCCAGCUGUGUACGUGCCAAGGCUCAUGUGAGUUGAGUACGGUGCUUCACUAGCCCAUUGUCUCCCAACAGCUCAACAUCCACAUGUCCUACCUCACUUAACCAUUCCUCCACAAUCACUAAAACAAAUUUUCUCAUCUAUUGUCUGGUUUCACCUACCAGAUUGAAACAAUCUCUUUUAAACACAAAGGUACCUGAAUUCUACAGGAGUCAUUCAGCAGGAGCACAAUGGCUGGAUAUGGA
rnacentral:lncRNA from 1 species